UCCCUGGUGGUCUAGUGGUCAGGAUUUGGCACUCACUACUGCAGCCUGAGUUUGAUUCCCAGGCAGGGAA